UGAACGCUGGCGGCGUGCCUAAUACAUGCAAGUCGAGCGAACAGAUGAGGAGCUUGCUCCUCUGACGUUAGCGGCGGACGGGUGAGUAACACGUGGAUAACCUACCUAUAAGACUGGGAUAACUUCGGGAAACCGGAGCUAAUACCGGAUAAUAUAUUGAACCGCAUGGUUCAAUAGUGAAAGACGGUUUUGCUGUCACUUAUAGAUGGAUCCGCGCCGCAUUAGCUAGUUGGUAAGGUAACGGCUUACCAAGGCGACGAUGCGUAGCCGACCUGAGAGGGUGAUCGGCCACACUGGAACUGAGACACGGUCCAGACUCCUACGGGAGGCAGCAGUAGGGAAUCUUCCGCAAUGGGCGAAAGCUUGACGGAGCAACGCCGCGUGAGUGAUGAAGGUCUUCGGAUCGUAAAACUCUGUUAUUAGGGAAGAACAAAUGUGUAAGUAACUAUGCACGUCUUGACGGUACCUAAUCAGAAAGCCACGGCUAACUACGUG
rnacentral:rRNA from 1 species